rnacentral:misc_RNA from 1 species
UUGAUUCAUUUGUUUAUGAUUCCACUCAGACAUGCCAGUAACAAAAAAUACAAGAGUUUGGGUCCCCCGGCGGGCGCCUGGUUCCGGCGGCUUCUUAGGGCCUUCCGGGGCGUUAGCCCGCCGAAGCAACGGUAAAGGUAUAAGUUCACAGGGGUUUGGGAGUUGUAAGACUCGGUAAUGAUCCCUCCGCUGGUUCACCAACGGAGA